AUUUCAUGGAAGAAGGUUGUCUCUUGGUCUGGAAAUCUGGUCAGUGGGUUUACUUAAAGUAUAACGGAUUAAGUGAAUGGCAAAGGGAUUCUGUCAGUGGGUUUACUUAUGAAUUGGAACUACGAACUGGAACACAAAGGUGUUAGAGUAAAAUGUCAAAUCAUGAGCCAAAACCGAAGCGAUCAAAAUUCAUUGACUCAUGGUUUAAAAGAACAAAUGUAUUGCAUUGCACGAGUUUGAAGCUUAUGGAACUCGUAGAGUUAGAUUUAGUUAGUUUAGGUUCUUGUAUUGCAUUGCACGUUUAUUUUGUUGUUGAUUUUGUUUUUUAGUUUUGUAUAGAUAUGUAUUUGAGGGGUAAGGCUCACUACGCCCCCCCCCCCCUGACUAGGUGUACAUUUUUUUUAAAUUAAUAAAAUUCUCUCGCACCGUCAAGAUUCU